UACGGGAGGCAGCAGUGGGGAAUAUUGCACAAUGGGCGCAAGCCUGAUGCAGCCAUGCCGCGUGUAUGAAGAAGGCCUUCGGGUUGUAAAGUACUUUCAGUCGUGAGGAAGGUGUUAAGGUUAAUAACCUUAGCAAUUGACGUUAGCGACAGAAGAAGCACCGGCUAACUCCGUGCCAGCAGCCGCGGUAAUACGGAGGGUGCGAGCGUUAAUCGGAAUUACUGGGCGUAAAGGGCACGCAGGCGGUUAAUUAAGUUGGAUGUGAAAUCCCCGGGCUUAACCUGGGAAUGGCAUUCAAGCUGGUUAGCUAGAGUCUUGUAGAGGGGGUAGAAUUCCAUGUGUAGCGGUGAAAUGCGUAGAGAUGUGGAGGAAUACCGGUGGCGAAGGCGGCCCCUGGACAAAGACUGACGCUCAUGUGCGAAAGCGUGGGGAGCAAACGAGGGAUUAGAUACC
rnacentral:rRNA from 1 species